CCUACGUGAGGCAGCAGUGAGGAAUAUUGGUCAAUGGUCGGGAGACUGAACCAGCCAAGCCGCGUGAGGGAUGAAGGUACAGAGUAUCGUAAACCUCUUUUGUCAGGGAACAAAGGCGGGGACGUGUCCCCGGAUGAGUGUACCUGAAGAAAAAGCAUCGGCUAACUCCGUGCCGGCAGCCGCGGUAAUACGGAGGCUGCGAGCGUUAUCCGGAUUUAUUGGGUUUAAAGGGUGCGCAUGCGGUCUGUUAAGUCAGCGGUCAAAGCCCGGGGCUCAACCCCGGCCCGCCGUUGAAACUGGCAGUCUCGAGUUGGAGAGAAGGAUGCGGAAUGCGCGGUGUAGCGGUGAAAUGCAUAGAUAUCGCGCAGAACUCCGAUUGCGAAGGCAGCAUGCCGGCUCCACACUGACGCUGAGGCACGAAAGCGUGGGUAUCGAACAGGAUUAGAUACCCUGGUAGUC
rnacentral:rRNA from 1 species